rnacentral:piRNA from 1 species
UUUCUUAAGAUAAAUGGUGUUUC